rnacentral:rRNA from 1 species
AUUGAACGCUGGCGGCAGGCCUAACACAUGCAAGUCGAGCGAGCGGCGGACGGGUGAGUAAUGCCUGGGAAUUGCCCAGUCGAGGGGGAUAACCGUUGGAAACGAAUGCUAAUACCGAAUACGAUUGGAUUGCCCUGGGGGGAUUAGCUAGUUGGUGAGGGAAUGGCUCACCAAGGAGACGAUCCCUAGCUGGUCUGAGAGGAUGACCAGCGACACUGGAACGGAGACACGGGCCAGAGUCCUACGGGAGGCAGCAGUGGGGAAUAUUGCACAAUGGGGGAAACCCUGAUGCAGCCAUGCCGCGUGUGUGAAGAAGGCCUGCGGGUUGUAAAGCACUUUCAGCGAGGAGGCGUUACUCGCAGAAGAAGCACCGGCUAACUCCGUGCCAGCAGCCGCGGUAAUUC